AGCGAACGCUGGCGGCAGGCCUAACACAUGCAAGUCGAACGAACUCUUCGGAGUUAGUGGCGGACGGGUGAGUAACACGUGGGAACGUGCCUUUAGGUUCGGAAUAUCCCAGGGAAACUUGUGCUAAUACCGAAUGUGCCCUUCGGGGGAAAGAUUUAUCGCCUUUAGAGCGGCCCGCGUCUGAUUAGCUAGUUGGUGAGGUAAUGGCUCACCAAGGCGACGAUCAGUAGCUGGUCUGGGAGGAUGAUCAGCCACAUUGGGACUGAGACACGGCCCAAACUCCUACGGGAGGCAGCAGUGGGGAAUCUUGCGCAAUGGGCGAAAGCCUGACGCAGCCAUGCCGCGUGAAUGAUGAAGGUCUUAGGAUUGUAAAAUUCUUUCACCGGGGACGAUAAUGACGGUACCCGGAGAAGAAGCCCCGGCUAACUUCGUGCCAGCCGCCGCAGUAA
rnacentral:rRNA from 1 species